GUGCAAAUAGUUAAACAUCCAGGAAAAUCCUUAUGUUCUCAAUUGAUUCUUGGGGCUAAAGGCUUAGGCAAAGCUAUUGUCGCAAUCCAGGAUGUUGGUCUUUCUCCUAAAGCAACUACUUACUCUCUGGCUAGAGUUGCAAAUGUUGACUGGAUUCAGAUAAUCGCAGAGGAGCACAUCAGCCUUAUGGAAGGAAGCACAAAGGAUUUUCAAAUGUUAGCUGGCACCCAAGAUGGAC